GGGCUAAUUCUCCAUUUUAAGGAAACUGGUCAGAGUUAAUUCCUUCAGAUUGCUUCGUUUUUACUCUCAUAUCUUCCUACUUCAGUCCACGGGUGGUCAGAAUCAGUAAUCUAUCUGCAAACGAUCAGUUGAUUCAGGUUGAGAAACAUUCACACAUUUAUCCGGAAAUUAUACUGAGGGUGUUUUCAAUUUAAAGGCGCACUGCAAAAACGGACGGAUUACGGCUUUAAUUUAUUGCUGAAUUAACCUGUCAAACUGCGUUAUUUUGAGCCAAUCGAAAUCAAUUUCCCUCUCUGAUAAUCAAUUUUUCCUCACCAUUGGCUGCUUGAAGAUAUUUUUCUUAUUUUACCAAAAAAUAACAUUUCAAUUCAAAGAAAAAAUACAACUUCUGACCAUAGUGAAAUCAAAUCAAUUUUGCUAAGACUUCGUCUAUUAACAUCUCUAAAAUGCCUCCUAAAUUUGUAAGUGUUUUCUGCUUGCUUCUGUUUAUCAGUUCGAUGGCGAGAAGUGAACCUGUUUACUACUACCAACUGUCACCAUACGAAGGACAUUACACGAGACAAUCAUUGGAAGGCUUGUCGCCAGAGAUGUCGCCGGACACUAGCUCCACAAUGAGGAAGAGGUUCUAUUGGGGCUUCCCAGACAUUCGGAGAAAGUUCAAAGUUCAGAUCAACAGUCCAUUCUUGAGUUCCUGGACCACACAGUAAUCGGCCGCAGAGGCAUCAGAACCGAUGGACUAAUAAGUCGAACCAAUCAUUAACAAAACGACUUUCGGACGUCCCGCUUGAAAUUGCGGAAAGUUUUGCUGCUAAAUUUUAAUAAUUAAAUCAAGGAAUUUAAUCGUUUAUUCUGCG